rnacentral:miRNA from 1 species
CACCAACCUCUCAUCGUUCCC